GCAAAAUGGCAAAACUUUAGAGAGACCUGGAUGGCUUGUGCUUGCCCUCCUCCCCAUGGGGGCCAAAACAUGCAGGACAGGAACUGUUGACAAUUAAGUGAUGAAACUCUCCAAAAAAAUGGAGGCAGAGAAAGACUCUGGAAGAAGAUUGCGCUCUAUUGGCAGGAGGAGGUACGAUGAGAACGAGGACCUCUCGGACGUGGAGGAGAUUGUCAGCAUCAGGAGUUUUAAUUUGGAGGAGAAGUUAAGGAGUAAAAUGUAUCAUGGGGAUUUCGUGCAUGCCAUGGAAGGGAAAGAUUUCACUUUUGAGUAUGUGCAAAGAGAAGCUCUCAGGAUUCCCCUUAUUUUCAGAAGUAAAGAUGGACUUGGAAUUAAAAUGCCUGACCCGGAUUUCACUGUCAGAGAUGUGAAGUUACUAGUGGGAAGCCGUCGGAUUGUGGAUGUAAUGGAUGUGAACACACAGAGAGGGGUUGAGAUGAGCAUGUCCCAGUUCGUGAGGUAUUAUGAAACACCAGAGGCCCAGCGUGAGAAGCUUUACAACGUCAUCAGUCUGGAGUUCAGUCACACCAAGUUGGAGAACAUUGUCAAGCGCCCCAAUGUGGUGGAUUUAGUCGACUGGGUGGAUAACAUGUGGCCGCAACAUUUGAAGGAGAGACAGACAGAUGCUACCAAUGCCAUUUCGGAGAUGAAAUACCCUAAAGUGAAAAAGUAUUGUUUGAUGAGUGUGAAAGGAUGCUUCACUGAUUUUCACAUUGAUUUUGGUGGCACUUCAGUGUGGUAUCACGUUUUCAGAGGAGGGAAGAUCUUCUGGCUGAUUCCGCCUACUCUGCAGAAUCUAGAACUUUAUGAAGAAUGGGUUCUCUCAGGAAAGCAAAGUGAUAUCUUUCUGGGAGACAGGGUGGAACGAUGCCAAAGAAUUGAGUUGAAACAAGGCUAUACAUUUUUUAUUCCUUCAGGGUGGAUACAUGCAGUUUAUACUCCAGUAGAUUCUCUGGUGUUUGGUGGAAAUAUCCUGCAUAGCUUUAAUAUUCCCAUGCAGCUUCGCAUCUAUGACAUUGAGGACAGAACAAGGGUGCAUGCCAAAUUCCGUUAUCCUUUCUACUAUGAAAUGUGCUGGUAUGUUCUGGAGAGAUACGUGUCCUGUGUGACCCAGCGCUGUCACCUCAGCAAAGAGUACCAGAAAGAAUCAAUGUUAAUUGAUGCAAAAAGAAAACGCAGCAUAGACAGCUUCUCAUCAGAUUCCUGGUUAGACAUGGAUGAAGAAUCUUGUGAUGCCCACCCCCGGGAGGAGAAGGAUGACAGCUUGGAUCAGAACACCAAACCUGUGGGUGACGGCUCCUCCUCGCCCAACAGCACACACUCCGAAGGGAAGGAAGGGGCUGGGAGGAAGCAGAAAGCCACAGUAAUGCGGUACCUCAAAAGAACUUUGUCCAAUGAGUCAGAUGACAGCGUGAAGUCGACAACUCCCACGGACUAUCCCAAAACGCCCACAGGGUCACCAGCCACAGAAGUCUCCACCAAAUGGACUCACCUCACAGAGUUUGAGCUGAAGGGUUUGAAAGCCCUGGUUGAAAAGCUUGAAUCCCUCCCAGAGAACAAGAAGUGCGUUCCAGAAGGCAUUGAGGAUCCCCAGGCUCUGCUGGAGGAUAUGAAGACCAUUCUGAAGGAACAUGCAGAUGAUGAUCAGAAUCUGGCCAUUUCGGGGGUCCCUGUUGUAAGCUGGCCUAAGAAGACCACAAAGAACAGAGCAGUCGGACGGCCCAAAGGGAAGCUGGGCACUGCCUCUGCAGUGAAGCUCGCGGCGAAUCGGACGACGGCAGGAGCGCGCCGGAGGAGGACGCGAUGCCGCAAGUGCGAGGCGUGUCUGCGGACAGAGUGCGGCGAGUGUCACUUCUGCAAAGACAUGAAGAAGUUCGGGGGGCCUGGCAGGAUGAAGCAGUCCUGCAUCAUGAGGCAGUGCAUUGCACCGGUGCUGCCUCAUACUGCUGUGUGUCUGGUGUGCGGAGAAGCUGGGAAGGAGGACACGGUGGAAGAGGAGGAGAGCAAGUUUAAUCUCAUGCUAAUGGAGUGUUCUAUUUGUAAUGAAAUCAUACACCCAGGAUGCCUUAAGGUGAAGGAGUCGGACGGCGUGGUUAACGACGAGCUGCCCAACUGCUGGGAGUGCCCCAAGUGCAACCACGCGGGGAAAACUGGGAAAGCGUACAAGCAAAAGCGCGGACCAGGAUUCAAAUACGCAUCCAAUCUCCCAGGCUCACUGCUGAAGGAACAGAAGAUAAACCGAGACAACAAGGAAGUUAUGGACGCUGCAAAGCGGAAAAGUGAAUGUGAAGAGACCCCCAGGCGGAAGUCAGAGGAACAUGCCAAGAAGUCUCCUGUUGACUCCAUCUCGAGGAGAAAGUCGGAUGAGGUGCAUCUGCGAAGGAAAAGGAAAUUUGAGAAACCCCAAGAGCCUGCUAUGAGGAAACGGCUAAAACUUGGAAAAGAAGAGAAACUCUUCAGGAAAAAGACUCUUUCUUUUCAGAGGCGAUCGUGGAAGGCGACAGAUGACCGACCCACCGUGGUCAAGCCCCUGCGGCGUCUGAAACAGGAGCCUGAGGAGGACCUGCCAGAGGCACCUCCGAAAUCCAAGGAGAGUGACCAGUCGCGAUCAAGCUCCCCCACCGCAGGGCCCAGCACGGAGAGCGCCGAGCCCAGGGACAAGAAGAAGUUCAAGAUACGGCGGAAAAGGCGGCUCCCAAAUAAGGAACUGAGCAAGGAGCUCAGCAAGGAGCUCAACCAGGAGAUCCAAAAAACCGAGAACAGCCUUGCCAACGAGAACCAUCAGCCCAUCAAGUCGGAACCGGAGAGCGAGAAUGAGGAGCCCAAGCGGGCACUGAACAACAGCGACAGACACCACAAGUGCAGCAAAGGGCUGAACGGGACUCCUAAGGAGCUGCGGCACCAGCUCAUGCCCAGCCUGCGGAGCAACCUGCGGGGCAUUGCCCGCCCGCCCCCUUCACUCUCUCCUCCCAAGUGCAUCCAGAUGGAACGCCAUGUCAUCCGCCCGCCCCCCAUCAGCCCCCCUCCGGACUCGCUGCCCUUGGACGAUGGGGCAGCCCACGUGAUGCAGAGGGAAGUCUGGAUGGCUGUCUUUAGCUACCUCAGUCAUAGAGACUUGUGCAUCUGUAUGAGAGUGUGCAAGACGUGGAACAGAUGGUGCUGCGAUAAACGACUAUGGACCAAAAUAGAUCUGAACCAUUGUAAAUCCAUAACUCCGCUCAUGCUCAGUGGUAUCAUCAGGAGACAGCCUGUAACCCUUGACCUUAGCUGGACAAACAUAUCCAAAAAGCAGCUGAGCUGGCUCAUCAAUAGGCUCCCAGGUCUGCGAGACCUGCUCUUAUCAGGGUGCUCAUGGAUAGCAGUGUCAGCACUUUGUAGUUCCAGUUGCCCUUUGCUCCGAACCCUGGACGUCCAGUGGGCAGAAGGAUUAAAAGACGCACAAAUGAGAGACCUCUUGUCACCGCCAACAGAUAACAGGCCAGGUCAGAUCGACAACCGGAGUAAGCUGCGGAACAUAGUUGAGCUGCGUUUGGCUGGUCUGGAUAUUACAGACGCUUCUUUGCGGUUGAUCAUAAGGCACAUGCCGCUGCUUUCCAAACUCAAUCUUAGUUACUGUAACCAUGUGACAGAUCAGUCGAUCAAUCUGUUGACUGCAGUAGGAACCACCACGCGAGAUUCCUUAACAGAAAUCAACUUAUCAGACUGCAAUAAGGUUACUGACCAGUGCCUGUCUUACUUUAAACGCUGCGGAAACAUCUGUCAGAUCGACUUGAGGUACUGCAAGCAAGUGACAAAGGAAGGCUGUGAGCAGUUCAUAGCGGAAAUGUCAGUAAGUGUUCAGUUCGGUCAGGUGGAAGAGAAACUUCUGCAAAAACUGAGUUAGUUAAAGGACAAGUGUGUAAAUAUUGGGGCAAGGGGUGGGAAAGGGACUAACAACCUGCAGGAUUUUAUUUUCAAUUGGAAACCUGGAAUAAAUCAAAGAUUGGAUUUUACAAGUCCUGUCAUGGAGAGAGCAACAUUUAAACUACCCACGUAAGAAUUUCAACCUGUGCCACUAAGUCAGUCUACCUGGGAUGUCCUGCACUGGCUCUUAUGCAAAUUCAUAAGGCGACUGUUAUUGAUGAUAAAUGCUCACACCCGGAAGAAGACUGAUCAUGAAGAAAUACUGUUAUUUAAAGUACCACAGCAUGUGCUUGGUAGUGUAAAUUUAAUUUCAGCUCAUUUCUUAAAAACAAAAAAAGUUGGUGUCAUUGAAGUGGACCAUGCACUGCAUUUCUGCCUUCUUAACACGUUUUGUUUUGUUACAUCUGACAUUAUGCAGAACUAUUUUUGUACAAAAUUGUUUAAAAAUUAUUUAUGCAAUGUUUGAAUGCAUUACCAGUGUUUUGGUUUCAAUUGCCAAUUUUUAUCUUUACUUAUGGUAGGAGAGAACUUAACCUAUACUUCGUAGACAAUAUCCAUCUCUACAAAAUGUGCCCAGGUCAGGAAAAGUAGGUUAAUACUUUCAACUUAAGCAUGUUUUAAUGGAAGUUUAUAUCCUGCUUUGUAUACUUCAGAAGUGACAUAAGCAUGUUGUGGAAAUAAGGUGUAAAUUAUAGUUGAAGUAAGACACUUUGCCAAGUUUUAUCUGUAUAGAAAUCACCUUUUUCUCAAAAUUUUAAAGAUUCCAAUUUCAGCUUUUGCACAUAGGAGGGUUUUACUCUGUAGCAUGAGCUCUUGUACUCAAUAUGAAAUUUAAUUUAUACAGUGAGUCAAGCAGUAGAAUAAAUGGUCAAGCGUAGUCUUUUUCUCUUUCUUUGAAGUGUGAGUUGAGUUCUCAUUUAAGGUUUAUGACAUGGUUAUUUCCCAAUUGUAAAAUUCUGCAUUCAUAAGUGCCAUUGUUGUAAGGUGGUGUUUUCGUAGACCUUCCUGAUGCAGUUUUACCUUUGUUGAAUUUGUAUAAACAAUUGUACAAAACCAGACAAAGCCUAUGAGGGUUUCUGUUCAAGCACAAGUUGAUGAAAAUCAUGUUUUUGUUUGCAGAGUCAAAAGUAUUAACAGUGCAGUUAUCUGAAGAAUGACUUUAUUAAAACUGAUUAUACCACUUUUUACACACCAGCUCUGUUCCCUGCGUGCUGCUAUCAUGUCUGCUGCCUUCAAAGACAGAAGGUCAACAUCAGAACCUGAGAUUCUGGGCAUCCAUGAUUAACACGGACCGUGAAAACUGGGAAUGGAAGAUUACAAGUGCCAGAAAGGACCACUGUGACCUAAACUUCAAUGAACUGAUUGGUUUGAAUGAUCACUAACCUCUAG